CGGGGGGCAGCAGUGGGGAAUAUUGGACAAUGGGGGCAACCCUGAUCCAGCGAUGCCACGUGUGCGAAGAAGGCCUUAGGGUUGUAAAGCACUUUAGUGAGGGAGGAAAGUGAUCUGGUUAAUACCCAGGUUAAUUGACAGUACCUCAAGAAUAAGCACCGGCAAACUCUGUGCCAGCAGCCGCGGUAAUACAGAGGGUGCAAGCGUUAAUCGGAAUUAUUGGGCGUAAAGGGCUUGUAGGCGGUGAAUUAAGUUAGGUGUGAAAACCCUGGGCUCAACCUGGGGCUGGCAUCUAAUACUGGUUCGCUAGAGUAUAGGAGAGGAGAAGGGAAUUUCUGGUGUAGCGGUGAAAUGCGUAGAUAUCAGAAGGAACAUCAGUGGCGAAGGCGCUUCUCUGGCCUAAUACUGACGCUGAGGAGCGAAGGCGUGGGGAUCAAACAGGAUUAGAUACCCGAGU
rnacentral:rRNA from 1 species